CGCUGCCUGCAGAGCCAAAGGGCCUGUUUGUUUUUGCUGUUACUUAUCAGAAAGGUUUAUUUGCAAUUGUUUGAGGGGGGGGGGGAAACCCCUGUGUAGCCACAGGCAGACAAGCUCAGUGCUCAGGAACAUAAUGGCUGGAGCCCGCGGGCCCAUAUGCUCGCCAUCCUGGGAGGUGGAAGGCCAGCUCUGAUCACAUCCAGCUGCUCAGGAUACGACUGAUCAGGUCCUCACUACCAUGUUUUUGGGCAAGAUACUUUUAGAAGAACACCUCAACCAGAUCAUGCUCUCAAAGACCCGAGCCUUCACUGAUGGCAGGCAAUAAUUUUGCAUUUUGGAGUAUCUUCUUACUCUUAUGCAUGGCAACAUUUAACAGCACACCACCAUCUGCCACAGAAGCACAGACCACUAAUGGCAUCAUAAGAAUAAGUCUAAUUCUACACAGCUGUCUCAAAAUAAGUGGACCAUCAACCAUGUUUUGCUAUCAGCCAUCCCUUUUACUUUGACAAGGAGCACAACACUGAGAUACCACAAGACCAGUCCUCCUACAAGGCGGAUUCAUUCUCACUGAGCAUCCAAAGUUCAACUUGGAGGACAAGGAAAAUGAGAGAAAUGGCUAGUGACACUAAGCCUUGAUAGGGUCAUGGGCUUUGCAACAGCUCCGACAUGCAGGCAGGGGAAAACAUCACUCCCAAAGUAAAGGGACAGAGGAAAGAAAUGGAGGAAAGAAAAAGGAAAGGUUGAUGGACAGUUGGACUUGUUGAGGGUGAAAUCAAUUAAAGUGCAUCAAAUCCGGAGUUCAUGCUUUUUCAAAGUGACAAAUAUGUGCUGGAAACUGAGAAAGAUGAGGGGAAAAUAAUGUCUUUGACCUCCCGGAGACCGGCUGUUCCUUCCGUCAGAGGAGCCAGAAGUGAAGUGAGAUGCGUUCAUGAUAAAUUGUAACAGCCAGGCAGCCACCUCAAAAAAGAACGAGGUGAAAAGGUUACAGAAGGGACCCAAAAUGCGAAGAAUUCAACCAAACAUCAAGAUAAAUCAACUCAGGCCCUUGUGUGUGCAUACCCAGCCUUCACAGAGCUGCUGUGGCUCAGCUCAGCUCGUGCAGCCUUGAAGUGUAAGAGAGAGACACACAUCUUGUUUACAACAGCUCUGGAAAACACCCUUACAAAGGGCUGGCUCACCUCAGCCUUCCCAGGGGAAAGGAUGCAGUGGCCACCCCACCUGCCACCCUGUUUUGGAGUUUGUUAGACAAUUAGGACAUUUCUUUGAGGCACACAAGUAUCCCUGACAAUCCUGUGUUCAGCUAAACUCAGCUUUCCAAGAGCUGGAUGCCUCUCUCCCAGUAAAGCAAACAAUAAAUUAUUCACACAUCUGAAAGUUUCA
rnacentral:lncRNA from 1 species